GAUUGAUUUUUGGUUGAAUGCUCUUAUUUUGUGCGUUGCUUAAGUUUUUUAUACGAUCGAAAGUUCUUUCGAGUUGAUGGCAUCUGGUUAAGUCUGGCUUUUACGUUGAAGUUUUGUGACUCGGAUUUUAUUUCGAGUAACUGGUAUCUUGUCAUAGGUUGGUUUUGUCAUUAGAAUUUCAUACUCCUAACAUUUUGAUUGGUGGUUUUUGGAUGCAGGUAUAGUGGUAUCUCACUAUACUUGAUUUUGAAAUAAAGUUUGUGCAUUUCAUGUUGAUUU
rnacentral:lncRNA from 1 species